rnacentral:rRNA from 1 species
UACGUAGGGUGCGAGCGUUGUCCGGAAUUAUUGGGCGUAAAGGGCUCGUAGGCGGUUUGUCGCGUCGGGAGUGAAAAUCCAGGGCUUAACUCUGGACUGGCUUCCGAUACGGGCAGACUAGAGGUAUGCAGGGGAGAACGGAAUUCCUGGUGUAGCGGUGAAAUGCGUAGAUAUCUGGAGGAACACCGGUGGCGAAGGCGGCAUCCUGGACCAAUUCUGACGCUGAGUGAGCGAAAGCCAGGGGAGCAAACGGG